rnacentral:sRNA from 1 species
GAAGGGAGCUUCGGCUCCUGGAAAGCGGCGAACGGGUGAGUAACACGUGGGCAACCUGCCUCAAGGACUGGGAUAACUUCGGGAAACCGGAGCUAAUACCGGAUAAUUCUUUUCUACACAUGUAGAAAAGCUGAAAGACGGUUUCGGCUGUCACUUACAGAUGGGCCCGCGGCGCAUUAGCUAGUUGGUGAGGUAAAUGCUCACCAAGGCAGCGAUGAGUAGCCGACCUGAGAGGGUGAUCGGCCACACUGGGAUUGAGACACGGCCCAGGAUCCUACGGGAGGCAGCAGUGGAUCUUGAGAAAAACUC